rnacentral:rRNA from 1 species
GAGUUUGAUCGUGGCUCAGGAUGAACGCUGGCGGCGUGCUUAACACAUGCAAGUCGAACGGAGAUAUCAUUUUCGAAGCGAUUAGUUUACUAAGAGUGGAGAUGUUGGUAUCUUAGUGGCGGACGGUGAGUAACGCGUGGGUAACCUGCCUUACACUGGGGGAUAACACUUAGAAAUAGGUGCUAAUACCGCAUAACAGGGAAAGAUGCAUGUCUUUUCCUUAAAAACUCCGGUGGUGUAAGAUGGACCCGCGUCUGAUUAGCUUGUUGGCGGGGUAACGGCCCGACCAAGGCGACGAUCAGUAGCCGGCCGU